GACGAACGCUGGCGGCGUGCCUAAUACAUGCAAGUCGAACGCACAGUUUAUACCGUAGCUUGCUACACCAUAGACUGUGAGUUGCGAACGGGUGAGUAACGCGUAGGUAACCUGCCUGGUAGCGGGGGAUAACUAUUGGAAACGAUAGCUAAUACCGCAUAAUAUUAAUUAUUGCAUGAUAAUUAAUUGAAAGGUGCAAUUGCACCACUACCAGAUGGACCUGCGUUGUAUUAGCUAGUAGGUGAGGUAACGGCUCACCUAGGCGACGAUACAUAGCCGACCUGAGAGGGUGAUCGGCCACACUGGGACUGAGACACGGCCCAGAAUCCUACGGGAGGCAGCAGUAGGGAAUCUUCGGCAAUGGACGAAAGGCUGACCGAGCAACGCCGCGUGAGUGAAGAAGGUUUUCGGAUCGUAAAGCUCUGUUGUAAGAGAAGAACGGGUGUGAGAGUGGAAAGUUCACACUGUGACGGUAUCUUACCAGAAAGGGACGGCUAACUACGUG
rnacentral:rRNA from 1 species